AAACCAACAGGGAUUGCCCCAGUAACGGCGAGUGAAGCGGCAACAGCUCAAAUUUGAAAUCUGGCCUCGGCCCGAGUUGUAAUUUGCAGAGGAUGCUUCUGGCGCGGUGCCUUCCGAGUUCCCUGGAACGGGACGCCACAGAGGGUGAGAGCCCCGUAUGGUCGGACACCAAGCCAGUGUGAAGCUCCUUCGACGAGUCGAGUAGUUUGGGAAUGCUGCUCUAAGCGGGAGGUAUACGUCUUCUAAAGCUAAAUACCGGCCAGAGACCGAUAGCGCACAAGUAGAGUGAUCGAAAGAUGAAAAGCACCUUGAAAAGGGGGUUAAACAGUACGUGAAAUUGUUGAAAGGGAAGCGCCUGUGACCAGACUUGCGCCGGGCGGAUCAUCCAGCGUUCUCGCUGGUGCACUCCGCCCGGCUCAGGCCAGCAUCGGUUCUGGCAGGGGGACAAAGGCGGCGGGAACGUGGCUCCCCCGGGAGUGUUAUAGCCCGCCGUGCAAUGCCCCUGCCGGGACCGAGGUUCGCGCAUCUGCAAGGAUGCUGGCGUAAUGGUCACCAGCGAC
rnacentral:rRNA from 1 species